GGCGAACGCUGGCGGCGUGCUUAACACAUGCAAGUCGAACGGAAAGGCCCUGCUUUUGUGGGGUGCUCGAGUGGCGAACGGGUGAGUAACACGUGAGUAACCUGCCCUUGACUUUGGGAUAACUUCAGGAAACUGGGGCUAAUACCGGAUAGGAGCUCCUGCUGCAUGGUGGGGGUUGGAAAGUUUCGGCGGUUGGGGAUGGACUCGCGGCUUAUCAGCUUGUUGGUGGGGUAGUGGCUUACCAAGGCUUUGACGGGUAGCCGGCCUGAGAGGGUGACCGGCCACAUUGGGACUGAGAUACGGCCCAGACUCCUACGGGAGGCAGCAGUGGGGAAUAUUGCACAAUGGGCGGAGGCCUGAUGCAGCAACGCCGCGUGCGGGAUGACGGCCUUCGGGUUGUAAACCGCUUUCGCCUGUGACGAAGCGUGAGUGACGGUAAUGGGUAAAGAAGCACCGGCUAACUACGUG
rnacentral:rRNA from 1 species